UACGGAGGAUGCGAGCGUUAUCCGGAUUUAUUGGGUUUAAAGGGUGCGUAGGCGGAGCGCCAAGUCAGCGGUAAAAAUUCGGGGCUCAACCCCGUCGUGCCGUUGAAACUGGCGCCCUUGAGUGAGCGAGAAGUAAGCGGAAUGCGUGGUGUAGCGGUGAAAUGCAUAGAUAUCACGCAGAACGCCGAUUGCGAAGGCAGCUUACCGGCGCUCAACUGACGCUGAGGCACGAAAGUGCGGGUAUCGAACAGG
rnacentral:rRNA from 1 species